rnacentral:lncRNA from 1 species
CUGAGAAGAGAUCCUGAGAGGGACCCACAGCACCACAGCAUCCUGCCCAGAGAGAGAGAGACUGAUUCCUGGGUAAAGAGAGGAGCUCCAGACCCUUCCUAUCCUGAGAGGGACCCACAGCACCACAGCAUCCUGCCCAGAGAGAGAAAGACUGAUUCCUGGGUAGAGAGAGGAGCUCCAGACCCUUCCUAUCCAGCCAUGAGGAUCAUCAGCCUACUGUACCUGCUGCUGCUAGUAACUGUUCUAGGAUCCGUUUCUGCAUUGAGACCAGGUAGGACAACACAAAGACAUUAUAUUACACUCCACUAUAGAACUAUAUUACACGCCACUAUAGAACUAUAUUACAUUCCACUAUAGAACUAUAUUACAUCACACUAUAGAACAUAUACACCCAUCAUAUAGACUAUAUUACACUCCACUAUAGAACUAUAUUACACUACUAAGAACUAUAUACACUCCACAUAGAACAUAUACAUAAUAGAACUUAUUACACUCCACUAUAGAACUAUAUUACACUCCACUAUAGAACUAUAUUACACUCCACUAUAGAACUAUAUACUAAAAUAUAGUAGGAACACAAUACACCACUUUUCUAGAAGUCUGUCCAACUAGACUUUGGUUAUAGACCAUGAGAGGUCUAGAACUAUAUUAAACUCUUUGAGGAAGACCCCUCGUUCCUCAUAUUUAGGCUAUUCUAUCUAGCCCAAGGCUACUGCAGAACACCAUCCACCUACUGAAUAUCCCCAUGUUGUUAUAACGACACAUGGCAUAAAGCCAGUGGUGAAACAUACAUUGAGUGUGGUCUACCUUGAAACAGGCCGUGAUAAAAUGCAUGUGACUAAAGCCAUAUGCAGCCUUCAUCUCAACUCGGAUGAUAAAGUGUUGAUCACGACGAGCCUAUACAACAUCAUCGGUCUUCUGAUUGGAUGGAUUUCAAUCUAAAGUUGACAUAACCCAACAAUAAUGAGCGUCGGCCUAUAGAAUUAGGGUGAUGGAAACCCCGCAGCGUGCGCUACACCGCCACGGGUUUACGACCUCGGGUAUUUAGUCGUGCAGUCACUGCAGUAAUGAGUCGAGAUUUGGCGGAAGCGCG